rnacentral:rRNA from 1 species
CGGUCCCUACGGGGCGCAGCAGUGGGGAAUAUUGCACAAUGGGGGAAACCCUGAUGCAGCGACGCCGCGUGAGUGAAGAAGUAUUUCGGUACGUAAAGCUCUAUCAGCGGGGAAGAAGAUGACGGUACCUGACUAAGAAGCCCCGGCUAACUACGUGCCAGCAGCCGCGGUAAUACGUAGGGGGCAAGCGUUAUCCGGAUUUACUGGGUGUAAAGGGAGCGUAGACGGCAGCGCAAGUCUGGAGUGGAAUGCCGGGGCCCAACCCCGGAACUGCUUUGGAAACUGUGCAGCUCGAGUGCAGGAGG